ACGCAAACGGUGUUCAUGCGUGGCAUGAAGCCGCGAAAGCAGGGAUGCGCAAUACCUGCUUUCCGCCAUUUGCGC
ncrna:unclassified sequences S6-S18-Chlorobi ribosomal protein leader